rnacentral:rRNA from 1 species
AACGAACGCUGGCGGCGUGCUUAACACAUGCAAGUCGAACGGUAAGGCCCUUCGGGGUACACGAGUGGCGAACGGGUGAGUAACACGUGGGUGUUCUGCCCUGCACUUCGGGAUAAGCCUGGGAAACUGGGUCUAAUACCGGAUAGGACCUUCCGUCGCCUGGUGGGGUGUCGAAAGGUUUUCCGGUUCAGGAUGGGACAGCGGACUAUCAGCUUGUUGGUGGGGUAACGGCCCACCAAGGGGACGACGAGUAGCCGGCCUGUGAGGGGUACCGGGCACACUGGGACUGAGACACGGCCCAGACUCCUACGGGAGGCAGCAGUGGGGAAUAUUGCACAAUGGGCGCAAGCCUGAUGCAGCGACGGCGGGUGAGGGAUGGCGGCCUUCGGGUUGUAAACCUCUUUCAGUACCGACGAAGCGCAAGUGACGGUAGGUACAGAAGAAGCACCGGCCAACUACGUGCCAGCCGCCGCAGUAAAAC